AUUGAACGCUGGCGGCAUGCCUUACACAUGCAAGUCGAACGGCAGCACGGGGCAACCUGGUGGCGAGUGGCGAACGGGUGAGUAAUGCAUCGGAACGUACCUUUCAGUGGGGGAUAACGUAGCGAAAGUUACGCUAAUACCGCAUAUUCUGUGAGCAGGAAAGCAGGGGAUCGCAAGACCUUGCGCUGAUUGAGCGGCCGAUGUCAGAUUAGCUAGUUGGUGAGGUAAAGGCUCACCAAGGCGACGAUCUGUAGCGGGUCUGAGAGGAUGAUCAGCACACUGGAACUGAGACACGGUCCAGACUCCUACGGGAGGCAGCAGUGGGGAAUUUUGGACAAUGGGGGCAACCCUGAUCCAGCCAUGCCGCGUGAGUGAAGAAGGCCUUCGGGUUGUAAAGCUCUUUCGGCCGGGAAGAAAUCGCACGGGCUAAUACCCUGUGUGGAUGACGGUACCGGAAUAAGAAGCACCGGCUAACUACGUGCCAGCCGCCGCUGUAACAC
rnacentral:rRNA from 1 species